UGAAGAGCUGUCCUGUGGGAGAAAUGACAGCAUGACAAACAGGCUAUGUGGACUUCAGCACAUCGGCACAAUGUGCCUCCAGUUUUUUCAUCUGGAAAAACAACUGGCAGUGGGUGAACCCUGACCUCAACCCCAGCCAGCAGAGAGCCUCUCCUGAGAAGAAGCUGGCCCUAGGAUGAUUAAAUAGAGGCCCGGCAUGGUUAAGCGGCAAGCCCAGAGUCAGCCAUCCAACGCAGCGCAGAGCUGUGAUACAACCCACUUCCACUCCCACGGCAUCUCGGCUUCGUGGGAGUUGAGGAGCGUCUCAACUGCAUGUCAGGAGAACCCAUGAAAAGGAAAGAACCCAGAACAAAUGGGUGAGAAAGUUCAAGACUAUGUUCAGCGUAAGAGCAAAAGCCUCCUGAGAAUUCUGCUUGCAGCCCAUUCCCAGGCAUUACAGUGCAAAGCUAAUUAGGGAGAAUGGCAUGAGUAGAAGACCACCAAGACCACCAGCUGAAACGGGUGUUCUCAUGGCCUCCAGUGGGCUCGACUAUUUUUAUAUUUUUAAUAUUUUGGUCCAAUCACUACUCUAUACAACUUAGCUGUCUUAAAACAAUAAAGCCAAAACAAAAAUAAAACAAUAACCCAGGCCUCCC
rnacentral:lncRNA from 1 species